rnacentral:rRNA from 1 species
CAAGGGAAGCCUGAGCAGCACGCCGCGUGAGCGAUGAAGGCCUUCGGGUCGUAAAGCUCUGUCGUCAGGGAAGAAAUGACCGGGAUUAACUGCGGGGCCCUUGACGGCUCCUGGCCAGAAAGCCCCGGCUAACUACGUGCCAGCAGCCGCGGUAAUACGA